UGAGUGGCGAACGGGUGAGUAACACGUGGACAACCUGCCUCAAGGCUGGGGAUAACAUUUGGAAACAGAUGCUAAUACCGAAUAAAACUUAGUGUCGCAUGACAAAAAGUUAAAAGGCGCUUCGGCGUCACCUAGAGAUGGAUCCGCGGUGCAUUAGUUAGUUGGUGGGGUAAAGGCCUACCAAGACAAUGAUGCAUAGCCGAGUUGAGAGACUGAUCGGCCACAUUGGGACUGAGACACGGCCCAAACUCCUACGGGAGGCUGCAGUAGGGAAUCUUCCACAAUGGGCGAAAGCCUGAUGGAGCAACGCCGCGUGUGUGAUGAAGGCUUUCGGGUCGUAAAGCACUGUUGUAUGGGAAGAACAGCUAGAAUAGGAAAUGAUUUUAGUUUGACGGUACCAUACCAGAAAGGGACGGCUAAAUACGUGCCAGCAGCCGCGGUAAUACGUAUGUCCCGAGCGUUAUCCGGAUUUAUUGGGCGUAAAGCGAGCGCAGACGGUUUAUUAAGUCUGAUGUGAAAGCCCGGAGCUCAACUCCGGAAUGGCAUUGGAAACUGGUUAACUUGAGUGCAGUAGAGGUAAGUGGAACUCCAUGUGUAGCGGUGGAAUGCGUAGAUAUAUGGAAGAACACCAGUGGCGAAGGCGGCUUACUGGACUGCAACUGACGUUGAGGCUCGAAAGUGUGGGUAGCAAACAGGAUUAGAUACCCUGGUAGUCCACACCGUAAACGAUGAACACUAGGUGUUAGGAGGUUUCCGCCUCUUAGUGCCGAAGCUAACGCA
rnacentral:rRNA from 1 species